GGUGGCUUAGUGGUAGAGCACUUGCCUUGCAUGCAUGAGGUCCUGGGUUCGAUUCCUCAGCACCA
rfam:Dipodomys ordii contig_16183, whole genome shotgun sequence.